UACAGAGGUCUCGAGCGUUAGGCGGAAUCACUGGGCUUAAAGCGUGUGUAGGCGGGUCGUUAAGUGCCUUGUGAAAUCCCAUGGCUCAACCAUGGAACUGCUGGGCAUACUGGCGAUCUUGUGCCACCUAGGGGCGAGCGGAACAGAUGGUGGAGCGGUGAAAUGCGUAGAUAUCAUCUGGAACGCCAAUGGUGAAAACAGCUCGCUGGGGGUGUGCAGACGCUGAGACACGAAAGCGUGGGUAGCAAACAGG
rnacentral:rRNA from 1 species